rnacentral:lncRNA from 1 species
ACAUUUGAAACAACAUUCUUUUUCUACCUGAAUUUUUUACUUUAUUUUAUAAUUAAAUAAUUACUAAUUUUGUUAUUUUAUACUUCAUUUACUUCAUAAAACUUAAAUCUGAGUUGCUAAAACAGAUCAGCUGAGUAACCACAACUAAGAGCUAUGUAAUCCUCUAGCUAUCAAAGAUUAAACUUUCCUAAGAAUUAGAGAUAGCCAUGUCCCAGAACUUAAGGACAAACGUGCUCCAAUGAGCCAGGUUUAGAUACUUGUCCAUGAUAAGCCCAUUAAAAGAGUCAUAUUGACAAUAAAAAGCAAAGAAAUGAGAUUUAUUCAGUGUGGCCACAUUGUGAAAAGUGAAAAAAAAAAACCAUCCAGCAACACCCCUAAAUCCAUCCUCAGAGACCUAAAGUCAGCUGAAGUUUGAAAUAGAGAGCUAGGGUUGGGUGCACCUGAGCAGUCAAGGCCGAGGUAUGGCCCUUCCCACUACCUACCAAUACUGACUCUUCUGUAAGGUAGUCUGGCAAGUUGUAAAUCACUUUCCUAUAGAAAAGAUUUCUGCACUGACUAACCAAGGUUUAGACUUUUUCUUCUCCUAACAUGAGUUCCUUGGGAAAUAUCAAGUUCUUGAUAGCCCAUUGUUUUCAUAGUCUGAUAACCCAAAAAAGGUUCACAAGUAUCUUCUUAAGAUAUAUUCAUUCUUGCUGUGCAAACCUUUUAUAGCUACUCCACAUGAGAUGAUAGGUACCUCCGGAGAAGAAGCUACAAUUAAAAGACAAUCUCUUCAAAUACCCUAAUCAUUCCUUAAAAUAAUUCAAAAGAUACAGGUGGUAUGGGCACAGGGAGAAAAAUAUAUCAUUAGUUCAGUUAAAUACGAUGGCAUUGGCAGGUUUUUUGUUGGUUAAAUACCUACCUCCCAUAUCUGCUGCCUUUACUUCUUAGGGCACAUAGUGUUGUUGAUUUUAACUCAACAUAAUUAUCCAAUUAUGUAUUACAUGUAAUUUUUUCUACUGAGGGUGGAAAAAGGAAAGAAAUUCACAUCACAAUGGCCAAUAGAUUCGAUGAUAUGAUCCAGGGAGUUCUUCCUUGGAUCACAACUUAAAAGCUAUGGCUAUAUCUUUUCCUCAUGAGACUCAGAACCUAAAAAGGGAAAACUGCUUUUGUGCUAACACUUAAGUGUCAUUGCUGGUGACAUUCCAAUGACAUGAUUGUCACUCUGAAUAUGCAAUUAAAUAACCAGAGCAGACUGGUAAGCUCAUUUCCUGUUUAACAUCACAUGUUUCUUGGAUAUCCAUACACUUCACGCACUUUCUCUGCAAUGCUCAGGUAGAUAGUCAGAAACCUGCAGGCUUAGGGGUGAUUAGGAUGUGUUCCUUCCUCAACAGGUUUGGCUCCUCAUCAGUGUCCCUGAAAACAUUUCCAGUUGGGGAAGUAUAGCAUCUGGCCCUCCUUAGAAUAUCAGGUAUCAUAUGAGAGGAGUGAGUUAUGUAUCAUAGCAGCCCCUCCUUUAUACUAAAAAUAUUUAAAGACUUGGGAUGAAAGUUGAGGUCACUCAUGGAAAGGCUGCUUUCUUCUGGUAAAGCAGAGUUCUCAUAUAGAUUAUGUUUCUUUGUUUUGUUGCUUAAUUCUUUUACAACUACUCUACUAUAUUAGUUUUUUUUUUUAAUCAAAAUAAUGGGAUCUGACUUGCAAUCCUGGCCCUAGGUAAAGACAUGAUAUUAUAAACUACCUAAAGGAUUAUAAAAUCACAAAGACAUACUACAUUCUUCUGAGGUAAGAGUUAAUCCAAAUAGCCUUGACAAUUGCUUAGACAAAAAAGUUCUUCAGAAAACCCAGCCUGACCAGGGUCACACCAAGGUGCCAGCACCUGGUCACCUUGGGUGUGGAAUCAACAGACUCCCCCAAGGUCCCUAGAGGACUCUCCAUGUGAUCUUAGGACCACUGGUGAGUGGAACAGAACUUCUGUUCCAAUCCAAUCCCAUGGGGCCAGAGACAGCAUUAGGGAAGUAGAAAACCCUGCAUGACCAGGGUAACAAGUCCCUUCCAAUUGGCUCUAGUACCUGGUCACCUCGUGCAUGGAGUUGGCAGACAACCCCAUGUUCCCUAGAGGACUCUUCACGCAAUCUUAGGACCACUGAUGAGACAGCUCCACGAUCCUCAAAGGAGACACCACUUCCAGGCACUGUAACAUGCCCACAAUCUUUGACAACAGGAUCCCAGGAUAAAAGGAGCUUGGUCACACCAGUAUUUCAGGGUCUCAGAGGAACUUGAUCCAGAAUCUCAAGUUCAUAGGAGCCCAAAAGCAAAGGAUCACAGAGAAAUCUGGACUCUGAGGAGUACUGAAUCAACUGGGAUUAUAGGAAGGAUAGACUCCAAUCAGAUAUAUUGAGGACAGCAAAUACUUGAGAUAAUCAGAUGGCAGGAGGCAAGCGUAAGAACAGAAGCAACAGAAACCAAGGUUAGUUGGCAUCAUCAGAACCAAACUUUCUCACCAUAACAAGUCCUGGAUACACGAUCACACCAGAAAAGCAAGAUAUGGAUCUAAAGUCACUUCUUAUGAUGAUGAUGGAGGACUUUAAGAAGGAAAUAUAGGAAAACACAGGUAAACAGCUAGACACAUUUAAAGAGGAAACAAAAAAUGCCUUAGAGAGUUACAAGAAAAAAAUACCAAACAGGACAUGGAAUUGAACAAAACCAUCCGGGAUCUAAAAAGGGAAAUAGAAACAAUAAAGAAAACCCAAAGGGAGACAACUCUGGAGAUAGAAACCCUAGGAAAGAAAUCAGGAACCAUAGAUAUGAGCAUCAGCAACAGAAUACAAGAGAUGGAAGAGAAUAUCUCAGAUGCAGAAGAUUCCAUAGGGAAUAUGGAC